AGGAUUAACGCUGGCGGCGUGCCUAACACAUGCAAGUCGAACGAGGUAGCAAUACCUAGUGGCAGACGGGUGAGUAACGCGUGGUCAACCUACCGUUGAGUGGGGGAUAACUAGCCGAAAGGUUAGCUAAUACCGCAUACGUCUCCGAGGGGCAUCCCUUGGCGAUAAAAGGAGCAAUCCGCUCGAUGACGGGACCGCGUCCCAUUAGCUAGAUGGUGGGGUAACGGCCUACCAUGGCACCGAUGGGUAGCUGGUUUGAGAGAGCGACCAGCCACACUGGGACUGAGAAACGGCCCAGACUCCUACGGGAGGCAGCAGUGGGGAAUAUUGCGCAAUGGGCGAAAGCCUGACGCAGCGACGCCGCGUGGGGGAUGAAGGCCUUCGGGUUGUAAACCCUUUCAGCAGGGACGAAGCGAAAGUGACGGUACCUGCAGAAGAAGCGCCGGCUAACUACGUGCCAGCAGCCGC
rnacentral:rRNA from 1 species